rnacentral:rRNA from 1 species
AGAGUUUGAUCCUGGCUCAGAUUGAACGCUGGCGGUAUGCUUAACACAUGCAAGUCGAACGGUAACAGAGGAAAGCUUGCUUUCUUGCUGACGAGUGGCGGACGGGUGAGUAACGCGUGGGAAUCUACCUAGUAGUGGGGGAUAGCCAGAAGAAAUUCUGAAUAAUACCGCAUACGCCCUACGGGGGAAAGAGGCCCUCUUCUUGAAAGGUCUCACUAUUAGAUGAGCCCGCGUUAGAUUAGCUAGAUGGUGAGGUAAGAGCUCACCAUGGCGACGAUCUAUAGCUGGUCUGAGAGGAUGAUCAGCCACAUUGGGACUGAGACACGGCCCAGACUCCUACGGGAGGCAGCAGUGGGGAAUAUUGGACAAUGGGCGCAAGCCUGAUCCAGCAAUACCGCGUGUGUGAAGAAGGCCCUAGGGUUGUAAAGCACUUUUAUGAGUGAAGAAAGGUUAAGGGUUAAUACCUCUUGAUUUUGACGGUAACUCACGAAUAAGCACCGGCUAACUCCGUGCCAGCAGCCGCGGUAAU